GGGGUCGACUGGUUUUGACAGCAAGACUAAUGAAAUGGUAAGCACGUCGAGCGCUGGGUUACAGCUCGUAAAUAUCAUAAUUCACACUUUUUAAACGGCGAAGAUAACUACGCCCUAGCUGCAUAACCCGAAUAAAGUAAGGUAAUGCCUCGGCCCGCAAGGCGGGCAAGCAGGAUGUCUCUCAACGGCCUUGGUUUGCGGCAUUUGAUAUAGAGACAUCGUAAAAGUAAACCUAGAAACCAUAGGAUCCUGAUGUGGUUUUGAAGCUCAAUUGGGAAUAAGGAUAAAUUUGGUAGUUUUUGACCGGCUUUAUCACGAAAAGUAAAUAAAAACUAAGCGUGUAGAAAGCUUUUUUAUUACUUGUUUGGACGAGGGUUCGAAUCCCUCCGACUCCACUU
rfam:Flavobacteriaceae bacterium CG2_30_34_30 cg2_3.0_scaffold_553_c, whole genome shotgun sequence.